GCCAGGUAUAGCCGAUUCUCCACGCGGAAACUGGCCCGACCUCCAGACGUCGGGCAGCGCUCGUUGUCUCCCUCGACUCGACGCCCCCGCAUCGUCGCCCGACUCGUCCCCGCCGUCGUAGCGCGUCGUCUCCGCUACGCUCUCCUCCACUGCCACCGCAUCAGGUCAAUCGAUGUUCGCCCGCAUCUCCCUGCUGUUCUAGAGUUUCUCCUCUCCUCUCACCGUUUCUUUAGAUCUGGGAAGAAGAGCUGCGGCUACUAACACAGCCCGUGCAACAAUUUCACCCAGGUGAGGCGACUCCUUCAGAAGAAUUUGAAUACCCUUGAUUCGAAUCGGUGGUUUAGGGAAGUGCACAGUUAAAUCAUAUAAUUUUCAUGGCGAUCCAUGGUUUCGUGUUCCUGAUUUUCAUUGGAAAUUAGUGUGGUAUUUUUUUAGGAAUUAGUGUGUUAUAUUAGGUCCACUAGCUCUCGAUUAGUCUGAUCCAAUUCAUAUAUUUUUACAUCCACUUGUUGUGUGCGUAUGGAUGAUUUGUAGAGUUCUUUUCCCCCUACAAAUCAAUGAUGAUUGUUUAGGUGCAUCUGCUUGGACACGCAUUUGUGUUGCUAAUUUGUCACUUUGGGGAAAUAUUCUCUGAUUCCUUGCUGGAUUCAUGUUGAUCCCUCUUUUACCUGUAUGCCUAGUUAUCUGAAGUUAAAAGGUCUUCUGGUUGAUGGUAAGCUCAGUUGUCAAUUACACUGAUCACCAUUGCUAGAGAAGUUCAGUUAAGUUUGUUCAGUCAGAGAGAAGUUUAGAACAAGAAAAUUUGAGUGCCAAAUGUUCAUUUUUUUAUCACAACUAUUAGAACAAGAAAAUUUCUUUAAGUAUACAAGUAAUUAUAGUAGAAAAUUGACAUUGUCCUCUCUACUUUUAUCUUGGUAAAGCGUCUGCUAAUUUAUCAGUGUUUUGAGGUACUAAUCCGGUGAGGAUCAAUUUUAUAUGGUCCUUCUCAAUGUUUGCUUUUAGUUGGAUAUGGUGUCAUCUGCAAGCAACUUUCCAGUUCCCAGAUGAAGAGGUUUGCGGCACCCAGUUGAGGCAUAUGAUUGAGAGAUGGUUCCUGACAAUUGCAUCACAGUUCAUCUUUCUUUCUUCAAGUAGAUUACUUUUAGAAGUAGAAAUAUACUAGGAUUUGCAUUUUCUAGAGAUCUAUAGUUUAUCUACAUCAAGAUGUCUACGGCCAUACUACAAGUUUCUGAAGUUUGCAGAAUAAAUGCUUUUGUCGGUGUCAUGCUCAUGAUCUGAAGGACUUUUGUGCAGCAACAGAACUGAAUUCACUCAUGUUGUAUUUUACUUUUUAAUAUCUGUGUGGAUGAAUUGACGGAGAGAACUAUUUGCUAUGGAUUAGCUUGACUUGAUUAAUAAUAUAACUCCAAUUUUGGUA